rnacentral:lncRNA from 1 species
UGACUGGGAGUAAGUAAUUAUCGGCCUCUGGCGCGGGGAGCUCCAGGUCCCCUCAUCACCCUUGGUGUGUAUGCCGUCUCCGCCUGCCCACAAUUCCCCUCAUUUGGCAGAUGCUGUGCAGACAAGACGCUGUGCAGACAAAUUACUUCCACGACUUCCUGAAAUUAGCAUUUCAGGACUGCAUUCAUCCAAGGCUCUCAGAACUCUUAAUCAACAGGAAUAUGCUAACCUGAGACUGGGUCAUAGAGGGACAGCCUGGAGAUCUGGGUAGAAUGGUGACAGCUGCUGCCCUCUCUCUGAAGAGGAGCGGUGUCGUGCUGGGUGACAGGAGGAAGGAUGAGACGGUCUUUUAAGGUCUCUCCCAAUCUGGGAAGUCUAUGAAUAUCCCUACCAGCUGAGAGUGAUUCUCCAUGCUUUAUUCAUCACGAAAAUGACGCAAAUCCAGAAAAGCAGCUCUUUCAAAGAGCUUCCAGGAACGUCUCUCAUGUGUUUCCAGCUGCUCCAUCUUGUCUUGACACUUGGGGCCAGAAAGCUGUGUGGAGAGGGGAGAGGGGCAGAGGAUCCAGAGGCUGACCUUGGACUUGGGCUGGCCUGCUGGCUGCAGACUGCCCCGCGGCUGCCGCCACCACUUUGUCUCUCCCUCCGCUGCACUCAAGGCCACCAUUGAUCAGCUCGCUGAGCGCUUUACAGCUGCAGCCUUGGACAGGCCUUCGCAGAAAUUGAUUGCAGUCAAUUCCCAGCAGAUUGAGCCACAUCGACUUGUCUCCAGUCCCACCAAUGGGCACCUUGGCUCCCCUUUUUAAUUACUCCAGUAAGCCUUCUGCAUAUCAGCCAGGGUGCAGACGAGAGAGAGAGGAGGAUGCUGAAAUAAAAAAGACUGUGUUUUCUUCACUUGCGCCUAGAAACUUGGUGAUAUGUAUGCACCAUGAAUUUAGUAUGUGAUUAUUAGAGAAUUUGAGUGGAGAAUCAAGAAUCAAGUUGUGUUCGAGACCCAAUUCAGCCAGCCAAUUUGGUACAUUUGGCAAAAUUCACAUAGCUGGGAGCCAGCUUCAUCUCUAAAAUGAGAGACGAAAAUUUGUAAGACCACCUUAAAAACUAUAUACAAAGGUAAAUACAGAUAAAACCCAUUGCCAUGACUACAAAUACUCUGGAGACAAAGAGGGUAAUGAGUGCUGACAUCUAUUGAGCAUUUAGAGGAGCUAAGCAUCAUGAUAAACGCCUUACAAAAUGAUUUAAAUGUUUUCCACAUUUCACUUAAGAGGACACUGAGACUAAAAUUUUAGGCUAUUGUCCAUGUUGAUAAUAUUAGGAAUCUAACCCAGGUUUCUCUGGACACAGAGCUCUUGUUCCUUGUUGUGCACAAAAAAUACCAGGUAGCUUGCAAACCAUUUCCACACCAAUUCCCUUGAAUUUAUGUUCAGCCUUCCAGCCUUCUAUAUGCAUAGUAAGACAUACGUUUGAUACAGGCAUCUUGGUUUGAUAUUCAUGUAAUUAAAAAGUCUCAAUUUUCUUUCUUUCUCAGAAGAAAGGGAAGCCCUGAGCCCCC